GAAUAAAUUAGUUAAAAGAAAAUCUUCUGAAUUACCAGAAAUUAAUAAAAAAAGGAUAAUAGAAAGUGUAUUAUCUAAUACCCCAAUACACAGCUCAGAGAAUAUCUCCUCUUCUUUUGUGAAUAAUUGGUUUGAUCAAUGUAUACCCAGCACUAGUAGAGAUGAAAGACAUAGCUACGAUGAGAAUAUUCGAUGUAUUUUGGAGAAAUUGGAUACAACGCUCGUAGAAAUACAUCAUAACACUGAUAGAAGAUUCAUCAAGACAUUUGUGGAGACACAGAAGAGGUUCAGUGAGUUGAAGAGGGUACACCACGAGGUGUACGAGGAGACGCUGAGGG